rnacentral:rRNA from 1 species
AUUGAACGCUGGCGGCAGGCCUCACACAUGCAAGUCGAGCGAGUGGCGGACGGGUGAGUAAUGUCUGGGAAACUGCCUGAUAGAGGGGGAUAACUACUGGAAACGGUAGCUAAUACCGCAUACCAUCGGAUGUGCCCAUAUGGGAUUAGCUAGUUGGUGGGGUAACGGCUCACCUAGGCGACGAUCCCUAGCUGGUCUGAGAGGAUGAUCAGCCAAACUGGAACUGAGACACGGUCCAGACUCCGACGGGAGGCAGCAGUGGGGAAUAUUGCACAAUGGGCGCAAGCCUGAGGCAGCCAUGCCGCGUGUAUGAAGAAGGCCUUCGGGUUGGAAAGUACUUUCAGUCGGGAGGCGUUACCCGCAGAAGAAGCACCGGCUAACUCCGUGCCAGCCGCCGCGGUAAUAC